UCUCUCUCUCUCUCUCUCUCUCUCUCUCUCUCUCUCUCUCUCUCUCUCUCUCUCUCUCUCUCUCUCUCUCUCUCUCUCUCUCUCUCUCCAGUGCCACCCGUUUAGUUGAACCCACUUCUAUCUUUCUCUCCCGGCUGUCCCUCGUAUUGAAAUACUCCAUUUUAAUGCGCUGUAUCAGUCCGGUUGGCGCGUACUGCUGGUGCUUUGUUAGAAAAAUUAAAACGCCACGGGAAGAGCAGCAACACGCUUAAUUUAGUUUCCGCUAAACGGCGGUGGGCUGCGGCCGGUCAGUGGCCCCGGGAGGAGAGUCUGGGGUGGUGGAGCAGCAGACAGAGUGACGUCACGGCAGCUUCGCCCUGCCGCCAACAGAUGGCACCACCUGCCGCACACCCUACUCAUGACGCGAACAUUUAUCGCCCUCUGAACUUUUUUUUGUUUGCGGUUUUAAAAAAGGCCUUAAAAUUCCUGUUAGAGGGAGUCUUCGGCAAAUAUAAAAAAAUAAAUAAAAAAUAUAAACAAUAAUAGGCUCUCGAUAUCUUAUGUAGCUAGGAUGCUCAAGGUGUAUCUCCGACUCAGGCAUGGCAGUUCAUGACGCGAUGCUUAGGGAGGCUGAGUGCGUGGAGAUAUCAUGAAAACUUUAUCGCUUUAUAUAGAGCUUAAUCAGUUGCGGGAGUGAAAUGCGGGUGUGGAUGUAGGCAUAGAAAGCUCUAAAGUCUAAUGCUAGUGUAAAACCCCCGAGAUGAGAGGUGUGGGGGCGAAAAUGCAGGAAAGAAACGCCUGCAUGACAGUGCAUGGUGACAAAGAGAUGCCCAGGCGGGGGCCCUUACGACGAGAGGCGAGAGAUGCAGCAGCAGCAGCAGCAUCCGUCCGUCUCGACAUAGAAAUGAAUAAAAGAUACAGUAGCGGCUUCCAAACCCCUGGAAUUUGUCAGCCGAGCCAGGCCGUCGCGAGCAAUCAAGAUGGAGUGCAACAAGGAGAGGUAAAUCAUGCAAGACGGUAGCAGAGCCUAAAGCAGUUGAGUCCUAUAGCCGCGGACGGAGCCCAGGAGUGCCAGCUGAGUUACACGCGGAGAACAGUGCCAGGCAUCAUAGGAAGGUCAUUAGGCAGGCUGAAUCAGGGCAUCUUCCUUCUCCUGAGACGCGCGGCAGAUGAAAGAUCUCCCGAAGGCAAGGAGGCUUGAGGAGUCUUGUCAGCUGAGCCUCUUCAUCAGGGGGAGAUCACGAGCAUCCAUCUGGAAGCAGCCUCCAGCAUCCAUAUUGGGCUAGUCGUUUCCAGAGCUGUCCCGACGCCGCGCUCGUAGAUCAAGUGCCGAUGCUGAUAUUCUGGUCCUCUGAUGCCCAUUCCUUAGGAGCCUUCGCCCAGGUCAGUCGCAUCUUCCACAUGGUCACGAUAGCGUAUACAUGAAAGGCAAAUGUAUUCAUUCUCCAACACAACUACAGUAAAAACGGUAUAAAAACGUCCGGCAGAGCAGCCUGUGUAUCACCCGCCCGGAUGAAGGGGGUGGGAGGGGAGGUGGCGGCGGGUCAUGGGUGGGGUAGGGGUAGGUGUGGGGGGAGGGGGGGGGGAGUCUGACAUGCGGCAACAAAGCACUGGGACGGAUAUGCUCGUAGCCCGGAUGCCUGCUACAAGCGGCCCAGGCUAGUCGUAAUUGUCCUCCCCCCCUUCCCCCUCCCUUCCCCCUUCCCCUCACUCUUCCCCCACCGCCCCGCAGCACACCCCACGCCCACCAUGCUUAACCGCGGCACCUGGAACACGUGACGGCGGAUGCGGCAGGCUGCGGCAGGCUGCGGCUGGCAUGCAAAGGAUGACAUAGCAACGGCAGAGCCCUCUCACAGCUGGUCCGAUUCUACGUUCUCAAUGCUGGGAUGACGGAUUCUUCUGCGUAAAAAAAAGGCUAACAGUGUGCCCUUCACGCCCACGCCCUUGUCAUCUGCGGAGAAAAAGUUGCGGGAGAUCGACUAUACUAUUUCUCUUUUAUUGUUUUAAUAUAUAAGUAAUUUCUUUAUAAGGUGUAUUUUCCGAAAGAAAGUUUUAAUCUAUUUUGUGUUCUCUGGUUCAUAGCCCGUUUUUUGGUUCUGUUUGUUUGUAUUUUUGUUUUUUUUGUGUGAAAAAACAUGUAAAAUGAAAUGUGGAUGAAUAAAUUC